GCUGGGUGUGGUGGCUGGCACCUGUAAUCCCAGCUACUGGGGAGGCUGAGGCAGGAGAAUCACUUGAACCCAGGAGAUGGAGGUUUCAGUGAGCUGAGAUCAUGCCACUGCACUCCAGCCUGGGCAACAGAGUGAGACUCUGUCUCAA
rnacentral:SRP_RNA from 2 species